rnacentral:rRNA from 1 species
GACGAACGCUGGCGGCGUGCCUAAUACAUGCAAGUCGAACGCAGUGGGGACGGGUGAGUAACACGUGGGUAACCUCCCAUCAGAGGGGAUAACACUUGGAAACAGGUGCUACACCGAUACUGAUGGAUGGACCCGCGGGGCAUUAGCUAGUUGGUGAGGUAACGGCUCACCUAGGCGACGAUCUCUAGCUGUGCUUUGAGGCUGAUCAGCCACACUGGUAGUGUGACACGGCCCUGACGCCUACGGGAGGCAGCAGUGGGGAAUAUUGCACAAUGGGCGAAAGCCUGAUGCAGCCAUGCCGCGUGUAUGAAGAAGGCCUUAGGGUUGUAAAGUACUUUCAGCGGGGAGGCGUUACCCGCAGAAGAAGCACCGGCUAACUCCGUGCCAGCAGCCGCGGUAAUUC